rnacentral:rRNA from 1 species
GAUGAACGCUGGCGGCGUGCCUAAUACAUGCGAGUCGAGCGAAUGGAUUAAGAGCUUGCUCUUAUGAAGUUAGCGGCGGACGGGUGAGUAACACGUGGGUAACCUGCCCAUAAGACUGGGAUAACUCCGGGAAACCGGGGCUAAUACCGGAUAACAUUUUGAACCGCAUGGUUCGAAAUUGAAAGGCGGCUUCGGCUGUCACUUAUGGAUGGACCCGCGUCGCAUUAGCUAGUUGGUGAGGUAACGGCUCACCAAGGCAACGAUGCAUAGCCGACCUGGGAGGGUGAUCGGCCACACUGGGACUGAGACACGGCCCAGACUCCUACGGGAGGCAGCAGUAGGGAAUCUUCCGCAAUGGACGAAAGUCUGACGGAGCAACGCCGCGUGAGUGAUGAAGGCUUUCGGGUCGUAAAACUCUGUUGUUAGGGAAGAACAAGUGCUAGUUGAAUAAGCUGGCACCUUGACGGUACCUAACCAGAAAGCCACGGCUAACUACGUGCCAGCCGCCGCCGUAA